UUGAUUGUUGUGAAUGAAUUGCCGUUCUCUCUCGUGGAGUACAAACCAUUUCGGGACUUUGCUGCUUCCUUAAAUCCGUGGUUCAAAGUGCCCUGCAGAACAACCGUCAAAGAUGAUUGCAUUGGAAAUUUUAAGAGAAACAGACUAAAAAUGCAACAAUAUUUUGAGAAGUCUACUAGUAGAGUAUCUUUGACAGCAGAUAUGUGGACGUCAAACCAAAAGUUGGGUUAUCUUUGCAUCACCUGCCACUUGAUUGAUUCAGAUUGGAAAAUUCAAAAAUUUGUCAUAAGAUUCUUCAUGAUGCAGACACCUCACAAUGCUAUGAACAUGUAUGGUGUGAUACUAAAGACUAUUCAAGAGUUUAAUUUAGAGGAUGAGCUCUUUGGUUUCACGUUAGACAACGCACCGGUGAAUACCGCGAUGAUAAACCACUUAAGAGAGAAUUUGGUUAAAAAAGGUUGUCUUCUCUUGAAAGGAAAAUUAUUUCAUUGUCGAUGUGCUCCUCACGUCUUCAACUUGAUGGUUCAAGAUGCUCUUCGAGAAUCUGUCUAA
rnacentral:rRNA from 1 species